rnacentral:rRNA from 1 species
UGGGGAAUAUUGCACAAUGGGCGCAAGCCUGAUGCAGCCAUGCCGCGUGUAUGAAGAAGGCCUUCGGGUUGUAAAGUACUUUCAGCGGGGAGGAAGGGAGUAAAGUUAAUACCUUUGCUCAUUGACGUUACCCGCAGAAGAAGCACCGGCUAACUCCGUGCCAGCAGCCGCGGUAAUACGGAGGGUGCAAGCGUUAAUCGGAAUUACUGGGCGUAAAGCGCACGCAGGCGGUUUGUUAAGUCAGAUGUGAAAUCCCCGGGCUCAACCUGGGAACUGCAUCUGAUACUGGCAAGCUUGAGUCUCGUAGAGGGGGGUAGAAUUCCAGGUGUAGCGGUGAAAUGCGUAGAGAUCUGGAGGAAUACCGGUGGCGAAGGCGGCCCCCAGGACGAAGACUGACGCUCAGGUGCGAAAGCGUGGGGAGCAAACAGG